rnacentral:lncRNA from 1 species
ACCUUCGCAUCAUCUGAAAAUGUCCAGAUGAGUUGGAGGCAGCAAUGAACAACCAGGCAACCAACUCUCAUAAAGAUGAAUCAAACUAUGGUGAUCUGAUAAGCAGACUUGUGAGAUCCAUUUUUUCACCCAAAAGGAAAAUAGACACAAUAUGGCCCUUUGUAGCAACACAUCUCUUCAGUAAUCGAAAUGAUAAAUAAAUA